rnacentral:sRNA from 1 species
UGGAGAAUUAACGAAAGAACUUAUCUUUGAUAUAUAUUGUUACUAAUCUAUUUGUUUAAACUAUCAUUUAAUGAUUCCGUUUAGUUAAUUACGAGUUCAUACAUAGAUAAUACUACUUUUUAAAAACCUCAAUUGCUAGGUUACCUAUAUUCGAGAGAACAAAACUUUAGAGAUGAUGGAAUUCUCAGUAGCAGCAGAUAUCCAGACUGUUUUCACAAGAACUGAAUGAGAGACUUAUGCUGACAAGCUCCACAAGAUUUGCAGAAAUCUUAAGUGAAUCUGAAAAAGUCUUCUAUAGAAAAAAUAUUUCAAUUUCUAAUGGCUGCAGAUGUUCAGCUUAUGUUUACAAAGAUCCAGUCUGACAUAUGUAUCAAUGACCUUGCAGAACAACUUAACUGCUGCUCUAAUAGCCACCUUGUACACAGUUGUGGAAUCUU